GUGAGUAUAGUUUAACAAAAAUAUUAGAUUGUGAUUCUAAAGACAGGGGUUAAAGUCCCCUUACUCACC
rnacentral:tRNA from 1 species